rnacentral:rRNA from 1 species
AGUGAACGCUGGCGGUAGGCCUAACACAUGCAAGUCGAACGGCAGCACAGUACGUGCUUGCUCUUACCGGUGGCGAGUGGCGGACGGGUGAGGAAUACAUCGUGAUCUACUUUUUCGUGGGGGUUAACGUAGGGGAACUUACGCUAAUACCGCAUACGACCUACGGGUGAAAGCAGUGGAUCUUCGGACCUUGCGCGAUUGAAUGAGCCGAUGUCGGGUUUGCUGGUUGGCGGGGUACAGGCCAACCAAGGGGCGGAUCCGUGGCCGGACAGAGUGGAUGAUCGGCCACCCUGGAACGGAGACAGCGUCCUGACUCCUGCGGGAGGCCGCAGUGGGGAAUGUUGGACAGUGGGCGCAAGCCUGGUCCAGCGAGACCACGUGGGUGAAAGAGGCCUUCGGGUUGUAAAGCCCUUUUGUUGGGAGAGAAAAGCAGCAGGUUAAUACCCCGCUGUUCUGACGGUACCCAAAAAAUAAGCACCGGCUAACUUCGUG